UUUAUGGAGAGUUUGAUCCUGGCUCAGGAUGAACGCUGGCGGCGUGCCUAAUACAUGCAAGUCGAGCGAACGGACGAGAAGCUUGCUUCUCUGAUGUUAGCGGCGGACGGGUGAGUAACACGUGGAUAACCUACCUAUAAGACUGGGAUAACUUCGGGAAACCGGAGCUAAUACCGGAUAAUAUUUUGAACCGCAUGGUUCAAAAGUGAAAGACGGUCUUGCUGUCACUUAUAGAUGGAUCCGCGCUGCAUUAGCUAGUUGGUAAGGUAACGGCUUACCAAGGCAACGAUGCAUAGCCGACCUGAGAGGGUGAUCGGCCACACUGGAACUGAGACACGGUCCAGACUCCUACGGGAGGCAGCAGUAGGGAAUCUUCCGCAAUGGGCGAAAGCCUGACGGAGCAACGCCGCGUGAGUGAUGAAGGUCUUCGGAUCGUAAAACUCUGUUAUUAGGGAAGAACAUAUGUGUAAGUAACUGUGCACAUCUUGACGGUACCUAAUCAGAAAGCCACGGCUAACUACGUGCCAGCAGCCGCGGUAAUACGUAGGUGGCAAGCGUUAUCCGGAAUUAUUGGGCGUAAAGCGCGCGUAGGCGGUUUUUUAAGUCUGAUGUGAAAGCCCACGGCUCAACCGUGGAGGGUCAUUGGAAACUGGAAAACUUGAGUGCAGAAGAGGAAAGUGGAAUUCCAUGUGUAGCGGUGAAAUGCGCAGAGAUAUGGAGGAACACCAGUGGCGAAGGCGACUUUCUGGUCUGUAACUGACGCUGAUGUGCGAAAGCGUGGGGAUCAAACAGGAUUAGAUACCCUGGUAGUCCACGCCGUAAACGAUGAGUGCUAAGUGUUAGGGGGUUUCCGCCCCUUAGUGCUGCAGCUAACGCAUUAAGCACUCCGCCUGGGGAGUACGACCGCAAGGUUGAAACUCAAAGGAAUUGACGGGGACCCGCACAAGCGGUGGAGCAUGUGGUUUAAUUCGAAGCAACGCG
rnacentral:rRNA from 1 species